rnacentral:rRNA from 1 species
CCUACGAGUGUCAGCAGUGGGGAAUAUUGCACAAUGGGGGAAACCCUGAUGCAGCGACGCCGCGUGAGUGAAGACGUAUUUCGGUAUGUAAAGCUCUAUCAGCAGGGAAGAAAAUGACGGUACCUGAUUAAGAAGCCCCGGCUAACUACGUGCCAGCAGCCGCGGUACUACGUAGGGGGCAAGCGUUAUCCGGAUUUACUGGGUGUAAAGGGAGCGUAGACGGCAGCACAAGCCUGGAGUGAAAUGCCGGGGCUUAACCCCGGAACUGCUUUGGAAACUGUGCAGCUAGAGUGCAGGAGAGGUAAGUGGAAUUCCUAGUGUAGCGGUGAAAUGCGUAGAUAUUAGGAGGAACACCAGUGGCGAAGGCGGCUUACUGGACUGUAACUGACGUUGAGGCUCGAAAGCGUGGGGAGCAAACAGGAUUAGAUACCCUGGUAGUC